rfam:Pteropus alecto contig48857, whole genome shotgun sequence.
GUCUACAGCCAUGCUACCCUGAACAAGCCUGAUCCCAUCUAAGCAGGGACGGGCCUGGUUAGUACUUGAAUGGGAGACCACCUAGGAAGACCAGGUGCUGUAGGCG